GACGAACGCUGGCGGCGUGCUUAACACAUGCAAGUCGAGCGGUAAGGCUCCUUCGGGAGUACACGAGCGGCGAACGGGUGAGUAACACGUGAGCAAUCUGCCCUUCACUUUGGGAUAACUUCCGGAAACGGGAGCUAAUACCGAAUACGACCACUUCCGGCAUCGGAUGGUGGUGGAAAGUUCCGGCGGUGAAGGAUGAGCUCGCGGCCUAUCAGCUUGUUGGUGAGGUAACGGCUCACCAAGGCUUCGACGGGUAGCCGGCCUGAGAGGGUGACCGGCCACACUGGGACUGAGACACGGCCCAGACUCCUACGGGAGGCAGCAGUGGGGAAUAUUGGACAAUGGGCGAAAGCCUGAUCCAGCAACGCCGCGUGAGGGAUGACUGCCUUCGGGUUGUAAACCUCUUUCAGCGGGGACGAAGCGAAAGUGACGGUACCCGCAGAAGAAGCACCGGCCAACUACGUGCCAGCCGCCGCGGUAAGAC
rnacentral:rRNA from 1 species